GUUCACAAGCAGUCGAUGGAGGACAUCCAAACUCGACAGUACCAGGCCAUGGAGGGCCUGAUCCGCUCUGAGUACAGCCCGCUGGGGGACAUCCGGAGUACCGUGUGCACGGCCUUCGAGCUGGCCACCGGCGACUACCUGUUCGAGCCCCACUCUGGAGAGGACUACAACCGCAACCAGGAUCACUUCGCCCACAUCUUGAGUUCCGGGGAGACAUCCUCCCAGGCGUUCGCCCUCUCGGCUGCUAUUCCCGGGAGUCCUUCAACCAGAGAGGGGAGCUGCGACACAUCCACAACCUCAAGCACUAGGGCCUGAAUGAGGUGCUUAUGGAGAAAUACGACUGGCCCCGGGGGCAGGCCAUGCAUUUGAGCACCUUCCUGCUGCCCAUGAUGGAGUACAUCCCCAAGAAGCUGGUCAGUGCCACCGACAGCCACCAGCACAUUUGGCUCAAGCCCUAGGGCCUGCCACCAUGGCGGGUGGCUCCCUUGGCCUGGCUCUGCUCCAGCUUGCAGGGCCUCGAGGGGCAGCAGACACCCACUGGCCCGGGGGCGCCGUCCCCUCCCUGCUCCAUUGUGUGGCUGUGCUGGGGCCAGGUCUGUCUCUCAGAAGUUGGUUUGUGUCCCCAAUCCUCCUGUGUUUCUUUUCUUAAUAAAGUCUGAAUGGGAAAAAAAUAAUAAUUAUGCAAAUAUAAUUGUAUACUUACGUAAUUAUUUCUUUGGGAUAAACUCCAAGAAUUGCUGGCACUAAAAAUAUACAAAUUUUAAAGGUUUUUGAUACUUGUUGCCAAAUUGCCUUCUAACUCAGUUAUGACUAUCUGUGUAACCUUGAGCAUGUUACUUAACUCUUGAGCCUUAACUUCCUCAUUUAUAAAAUGGAGAUAGUGUGAGAAUAUAUUGUUUUAAAGCAGUUAAAACAGAGCCUUGCAUGUGCUAAGUACUUGUUGGUAAUGAUUAUUACUUUUUUUUCCUAAGCUCUUCCAGUUAAUACUCCGACCUGAGUUGUAUGAGAAUUUGUGGUUUUUCAACCUCUCAAGUAGUUACACAAGCUUCUGGCACCACUAAUCUACUUUCUGUCUCUAUGGAUUUACCUGUCUACAGUGGGCAAGCUCUGAAUCAGGUUAAAUAAAAGCAAUAUUGUGAGUGGGGUCUUCUGCAGAAUCACCAGACAAAUAAAAUAAUGGCAAUUCUCUGAGAAUGGGGCUUUGAAAGAGCUCUGUGCUGGUUUGGAUGUAUUAUGUCCCCCAAAACACCAUUAUCUUUGAUGCAGUCUGUGUGGGCAGGAAACAUAUUGGUGUUGAUUGGGUUGGAGACUUUUG